rnacentral:rRNA from 1 species
UACGUAGGGGGCAAGCGUUGUCCGGAAUUACUGGGCGUAAAGCGCGUGUAGGCGGUUAAUUAAGUCAGAUGUGAAACCUUAAGGCUCAACCUUAAGCAUGCAUCUGAUACUGGUUGACUUGAGGACAGGAGAGGGAAGUGGAAUUCCUAGUGUAGCGGUGAAAUGCGUAGAUAUUAGGAGGAACACCAGUGGCGAAGGCGACUUCCUGGCCUGUAACUGACGCUGAGACGCGAAAGCGUGGGGAGCGAACAGGAUUAGAUACCCUGGUAGUCCACGCCGUAAACGAUGGGUACUAGGUGUUGGAGGUAUCGACCCCUUCAGUGCCGCAGUUAACGCAAUAAGUACCCCGCCUGGGGAGUACGGUCGCAAGACUGAA